GUGCUUGCUUUGAUAGCACAUAUACUAAAACUGGAACAAUACAGAGAAAAUUGAUAUGACUCCGACAAAAAGAUGGCACACAAAUUUGCUAAACAUUCUACAUACUU
rnacentral:snRNA from 1 species